GGAGACGUGUCCGAGUGGCUUAAGGAGCACGCUUGGAAAGCGUGUAUGCGGCAACGUAUCCUGGGUUCAAAUCCCAGCGUCUCCGCCA
rnacentral:tRNA from 1 species